rnacentral:rRNA from 1 species
GACAGAGGGUGCGAACGUUGUUCGGAAUUACUGGGCGUAAAGCGCAUGUAGGCGGCAUCGCAAGUCGGGCGUGAAAUCCCACGGCUCAACCGUGGAAGUGCACUCGAAACUGCGCAGCUAGAGUCCUGGAGAGGAAGGUGGAAUGCUUGGUGUAGAGGUGAAAUUCGUAGAUAUCAAGCGGAACACCGGUGGCGAAGGCGGCCUUCUGGACAGUGACUGACGCUGAGAUGCGAAAGCGUGGGGAGCAAACAGG